rnacentral:rRNA from 1 species
AGAACGAACGCUGGCGGCAUGCCUAAUACAUGCAAGUCGAACGAAGGCUUCGGCCUUAGUGGCGCACGGGUGCGUAACGCGUGGGAAUCUGCCCCUUGGUUCGGAAUAACAGUUGGAAACGACUGCUAAUACCGGAUGAUGACGAAAGUCCAAAGAUUUAUCGCCAAGGGAUGAGCCCGCGUAGGAUUAGCUAGUUGGUGAGGUAAAGGCUCACCAAGGCGACGAUCCUUAGCUGGUCUGAGAGGAUGAUCAGCCACACUGGGACUGAGACACGGCCCAGACUCCUACGGGAGCAGCAGUGGGGAAUAUUGGACAA